rnacentral:rRNA from 1 species
UACAGAGGGUGCGAGCGUUAAUUGGAAUUACUGGGCGUAAAGCGCACGUAGGCGGCUUGGUAUGUCGGGUGUGAAAUCCCCGGGCUCAACCUGGGAACUGCAUCCGAAACUGCCUUGCUAGAGUAUGGGAGAGGGAAGUGGAAUUUCCGGUGUAGCGGUGAAAUGCGUAGAUAUCGGAAGGAACAUCAGUGGCGAAGGCGACUUCCUGGACCAAUACUGACGCUCAGGUGCGAAAGCGUGGGGAGCAAACAGG